rnacentral:rRNA from 1 species
UGCAGUAUUUUGACUGUACAAAGGUAGCAUAAUCAUUUGUCUUUUAAUUGAAGGCUAGAAUGAAUGGUUGGAUGAAAAAUAUUCUUUCUUAUUUUUAUAUAAAAAAAUUGAUUUUCUAGUUAAAAAGCUAGAAUAUUUUUAUAGGACGAGAAGACCCUAUAGAAUUUUAUUUUCAUUUUAUAUAAUAGUUUUAGAUUUUUAUAUUAUUAUAUAUUUUUGUCAAUUUUGUUGGGGUGACAAAAAAAAUACAAUAACUUUUUUUAUAAGAAUACAUUUAUUAAUGUUUAAUUGAUCUUAUAUUAUGGAUUAUAAGAUUAAAUUACCUUAGGGAUAACAGCGUUAUUUUUCCGGAGAGUACAUAUUAAUGGAAAAGUUUGCGACCUCGAUGUUGGAUUAAAAUAAG